AGUCUUGAUUUUUUUUUUUUAAACCAUGAAAUGGAAAUAGAAUUAUUUGAAAAAAAAAAUAAAAGGAUCAUUCAGAAAAAUCUAGGAAAGAAAAAAAUGUAAGAAAAAAGAACAAUCCACUCUCUAAAUCUCCAAGGAACAAUAGCCACAAUUUAACAGUUUUGUCUAUGUUGUUUCAUCUAGACAUUUUUAUGUGCUUGAAUGCAAGCAGAGUUCACCUCCCUUCUUGCAUGCAUUCUACAUGCUUUUUACACAAAUGUGAUUAUGUUUUAUAUAAUUCUUGGUAAUCUGCCUGUUAACAUAUUGUGGGCAUCUCUGCAGGAUAGUAAGUGUAGCUCCAUCAAUUUUGACUAUAUUGCGUUUCCUUCUAAGGAUACAAAAAUAUAUUUAACUGAUCUUCUAGUGAUGACUGCUUAGACAUUUAUAAUGUUUCCCCAUUAUAAAUAACACUUUGAUGAAAAUUCUUGUCUGUGCAUCUUUUCAGAUUUGACCCUAUCAGUCUUUUAAAUCUUUGUCAAUGAAUUCCCUUUCUUAAUUCUUCUUGUUUUUAUACUAAUAUCAGUAAGAUUUUGCUUAUUUGUUUGUACUUCUAAAAUUUAUCCUUGUUAAUGGAAGACAUUUAUCUUUGUUAAAAAUAGGUCAUUAGUCUCAUUUUUUAUGUUAGGAAAUAUAUUAGGAGUUAAUAAAUUUUUUAAAGUUUCUGUUUAUAAUUUAGUCUCACAAUUUUCAAUAAAUAACUUUCCAUAAAUAAAAAAAUUACUUAUUACAUGUAACUUGUAAUGGGAAUAAAAUUGUUGAGUAAUGGGAAUAAAAUUCUUGAACUUUUUGUAGUUCCAGGAGUUCUUAGGAUGCAUGUGUUUUAUAGUCAAGUCAUAUUUUCAGUUCUUUUUACCUGCCUUGAUGUGUCAUGAAAAAGAGUACUUUUGUAAGCACUUUUUUUAGUGGUUUUUCUAUGUAUUUUAGCUCUGGAGUAUAUUUCUAAAGUAUUUUUUUGGCUUUUUAAAGAAAGCCAAAUCUACUUAUGUUAAUUUCCCUUGUUAACAUCGAGGUCCCUUGUAUGCAAACCUGAAUUAUCUGGAGCGGGAAUCAGCAAACUUUUCUUAAAGCAUAGAUAGUAAGUAUUUUAGAUUUAUUGUCUGUAUGGUCUUUGUGUCUCUCUUGUAGCUCAGAAGUAAUCAUAGACAAUACAUAAACAAAGAACAUGACUGUGUUCUAGGAAAACUUUAUUUAUAAACACAGGCAGCCAAUAGUUUGCCAACUCCUAUUUUAGAACAUGAGUGAGAAUCAUCAAUAAAACUACAAAUCUUUGCAACAGUGAGAAUAAGAAAAUAGUGAAUUAAAGACUAUUAGCAUUUCAGCCAUCUAGGACAGUGUUCUUCUCAUUAUCAUACGUAAAUAUUUGAAUGAGGCGUGCAUUUAGGUUAACUGAUUGACAAAAGGUCUUGAAAUAUUUUUGAAGGUGGCAUAUUCAGAGUUUCUUUUAAGUGAUAUGCUUUUGCUAAUAAAACUAGAUAAUUUUAUGGCAAAGCCGUGAUCUAGAUUUAACUAAUUCAUGUAGCUCAUACGUUUUUGAAACACUUAUGUGUUGGAUACUGUGCUAGAUCUUAGGGCUAAAGGUAGAGGACCAUGGUCUCUGUCCUCUAGGUUUACAUUGUGGAGGCAUGCAGAUACAUACCUUUAAUUACAGUGUUUAAGUGCUCUGAUAGGAGAUACAUACCAGAUGUUGAUGGUAGAGGAGCAGGUUCUUACUCUGCAUUGCAGAAUCAGGAGAUCUAAGAGGAAGUAAUAUUUGAGUUGAGAUUCGAAGGAAUGGGAAUUGGUCAGCUGACUUGACAAAUAAAAAAGAUGAGUAACAUGUAUAAUGUUUUCAUCUGCUUUGGCUGCCAUAACAAGGUAUCAUAGACUGGGUGGCUUAAAUAACAGUCAUUUAUUUUCUCAUGGUUCUGGAGGUUAGAAGUCUACGUUGAAGGUGCUGGCAAAUUUGGUUUCUGGUGAGAGUUCUCUUCCUGGCUUAUAGAAGGCCACCUUCUUGCUCUGUCUUCACAUGGCCUUUCCUUUGUGCUUGCAGAGAGAGAAGGGGAGGGGGAGAGUGAGAGGGUGGAGGAGAGAGAAGGAGCACUCUCUGGUGUCUCUUCCUCACCAAUGCCAUGGGAUGAUUAGGGCCCCACCCUUGUGACUUCAUUUAACACUAAUUCCCUUGCUAAAUGACGUAUAUCCAAAUACCAUUACAUUGGGGGUUAGGGCUUCAACAUAUGGAUUUUGUUUUUUUUUUUUUUUGGAGAGUUGAGUACAGGGGACUUUAUUGAUAGUACAUGACAAAGGUGGUACUCCCUAGGUCCCUCCUUCUUCAGGGGGUCUGACACAGAAACUGUGUCCAGGGGAGAUUCUCAGUGUGGUAAGGGACUGAGUGCGUCAGGGACUCCCCAGCAGCUGAGGGCCUCUCUCUCCCUGUUGUGCUCUUGCUGGGGCUGGUGAUCCAGGGGCUCUUACCCCUUGGAAGCCGGGUGGAACAUGAGUUCCACCACCCUGUUGCUGUAGCCAAAUUCAUUGUCGUAUCAGAAAAUGAGUUUGAAAAAGUGGUUGUUGAAGGCAGUGCCAGCCCCAGCAUCAAAGGUGAAGGAAUGAGUAUCACUAGUAAAGUUGGAGGAGACAACCUGUUGCUCAGUGUAGUCCAGAAUGCCUUUGAAGGGACCCUCCAAUGCCUGUUUUACCAUCUUCUUUAUGUCAUCAUAUUUGGCAAGUUUCUCCAGAUGGCACAUCAGGUCCACAACCAACACAUUGGCAGUGGGAACAUGGAAAGUUAUGCCAGUAAGCUUCCUAUAGAUCAGGGAUGACCUUGCACACAGCUUCGGCAACACAGAGGCAGGGAUGAUGUUCUAGAGAGCCCCACAGCUGUCACACCACAGUAUCCCAGAGGGGCCAUCCAUGGUCUUCUGAGUGCCAGUGAUGGCAUGAACUGUGGUCAUGAGUCCCUCCAUGAUGCCACAGUUGUCCAGGGUGGCUAAGCAGUUGAUAGUGCAGGAGGCAUUGCUGACCAUCUUAAUGCCAUUUUUGUACUUCUCAUGGUUCAUGCCCAUCACAUGGGGGUAUCAGCAGAAUGGGCAGAGACGAGGAUCCUUUUGGUUCCCUGCUUUAAGUGAACCUCAGCCUUCUUCAUGGUAGUGAAGAUGCUGGUAGAUUCCACAACAUAAUCAGCGCCCAAAUCACCCCAUUUAAUUUUGGUGAAAUCUUGCAACUGUAAGAGGGUGAUGGGAUUUCCAAUGAUGACAGGUUUCCAGUUCUCAGCCUUGACAGUGCCCUAGAACUUGCCAUGGGUGGAAUCGUGCUGGAACAUUUAGGCCGUGUAGUGAAGGUCACUGAAGGGUCAGUGAUGGCAACAAUAUUCACUUUGCCAGAGUUAAAAGGAGCUCUGGUGACCAGGCACCACUAUGGCCAAAUCCAUUUAGUCUGGCCUUCACUUUCACCAUGAUGUCUCAGUAAUGUGUCUGGUGAUGCUGAGAAGAUGAGGCUUUCUGUAGAAUGGGGGAGCAGAGAGCCAGCAACAUAUGAAUUUUUAGGGAACACAAUUCAGUCUAUAAAAUAUAUUAACUGGGAGGCUGAGGUUAGCAUGGAGUGUUUGAAGAAUGACAUAAAAAGUGUGAUGUGAAUUUAGAUUUCCCCUCCCCUCAAAAAAGGAAGGGUAAUAUGAUGUUUCAGGUGUUCCUGUGGGCAAGUGACAGGAUAUGACAUUAGCCAGGUAAGUAGACUCUGGGUCUUACAUGCCAUGUUUAAGAAAUUUUUGGCCGGGCGCGGUGGCUCACGCCUGUAAUCCCAGCACUUUGGGAGGCCGAGGCGGGUGGAUCAUGAGGUCAGGAGAUCGAGACCAUCCUGGCUAACAAGGUGAAACCCCGUCUCUACUAAAAAUACAAAAAAUUAGCCGGGCACGGUGGCGGGCGCCUGUAGUCCCAGCUACUCGGGAGGCUGAGGCAGGAGAAUGGCGUGAACCCGGGAAGCGGAGCUUGCAGUGAGCCGAGAUUGCGCCACUGCAGUCCGCAGUCCGACCUGGGCGACAGAGCGAGACUCCGUCUCAAAAAAAAAAAAAAAAGAAAUUUUUAAUUUUGUCCUACCCGGUAAUUGUAAGACAGUGAAGAUGUGUAUAUAUUUGUGUAAAUGAAUGCAUGAAAAUAAAUAUGUAUGACUUUGCUUUAAGAGUUACAGCACUGUGGGCUGGGCAUGGUGGCUCCCGCCUGUAAUCCCAGCACUUUGGGAGGCCGAGGGAGGUGGAUCACGAGGUCAAGAGAUCGAGACCAUGCUGGCCAACAUGGUGACUUCUACUAAAAAUACAAAAAUUAGCUGGGCAUAGUGGUGCGCGCCUGUAAUCCUAGCUACUCUGGAGGCUGAGGCAGGAGAACGGCUUGAACCCGGGAGGCAGAGGUUGCAGUGAGCUGAGAUUGUGCCACUGCACUCCAGCCUGGCAACAGAGUGAGAUUCCGUCUUAAAAAAAAAAAAAGAGUUACAGCACUGUGAAGGAUGUAUUGCAAGAGGAUUUUGGGUGUUGGGUUGGAGAAGUGGUAUGUAAAUAGUAGGUAGGAAGAUCAGUUAAGUAGCCAUUAUAUAAGUUCAGGUGAGCAUUGGAACUACAGUGGUUACAAAGAGAACAGAGAGGAAGAAACAUAAGCUAUUUGGAAGAUAAAUAUGAAUUGACUUGGUGAUGGAGUGUAAGAAGUGAACAUCUUAUUUUCAGUUAUGCUGAAUUCAUCAUUUCCAUUUCAUAUCUACUGAAAUUCAUUAGCUUUUCCUUUGUCUGUUUCUGAAGAGAUAAUGUGUGUGAAGUUAAUUCAGUGAAUCAGAUUGGGUAGGAAAUAUUUUUACUAAGCAGUUUUUUAGUUUUGUUAUUUUCAAGGGCAUGAGGGAAAAGUAUAAUCUUACUAGGCUGUAGUUUGUAUUUUAACCCAUUUAUGCCAGAGGUUGCAAAUUUUUUUGGUGAAAAAUCAGACCUUGAUGAUGACCUUGAGUAGUAAAAUAUAAAUAACUCUCACAAGCUUAGUAUUCCAAUAAUGGAACAAUAGGCAUAAAUGGCUUAAUCUAGUACUUUGUGUUUUUGGAAGCUGAGGUGUUCUGUAUACAUUUUUUUUAGAAGGGCUGAGAUUUUAAAAGUAUGUGCACCUUUCUACCACACAAAUCCCAUUGUAUUCUAACUCUCGGUUACUUUAAUAUCAUCACCAUUUCAUUUAGUAUACUUUAGUAUACCUGAUACUUUAGUAAAUGCUUUAGUAUACCUGAUAAUUUUAACUGCUGUUUCUUUCCUCAGAACUGAUAUAUCUAUAUUAUAACUUUAUUGGACUUCAGUUGCCUUUUCAUCUGUUGGGAGUCAGGUGCUGCUCUGCCCUCUGGAUCUUCUUCCCCUACCUCAGCUCCAUUGAAAGAGGAAAGCCUGGUUCAUCAGUGUCCUGCAGAAUUAAGGCCAGGGUCUGUGUUGAUUAAUUAGUGCCUUUGCCAUAUUUUGAGUUCUACUUAUGGAUAUUUUCUUAGUUUAUGUGAAAAUAUUUUAGGUCUGAUUUUUAGAUUAUAAAAUCCUGAUGGUAAAGUAAUUUAAGAACCUGCUUUGAAUUUGUGCUUUCGUUUAUACCUAAAAUACUAUGUGCUCAAAUGUUUAACUCUCUGAUGGAUGCUUUCAAAGUAUUUUCCUGAAGUCAUUCUGAUAGUAGUGUGGGUCACUUAACUUAGUCUUUUUAGUUUUUUUGAUUAUAUAAGUUUCCCUCUGGUAUUACUCUAUUUGAACUGCUAGAUAAUUCUGCUCAGGAGUUGAACAUGUGUCAUCAAGAGCAAGGGUUAAUUAAUUUUAGUCUCUUUCUGUACAAUAUCUUUGAUUACCUAAAACUGACAUACUGAGUUUUAGAAUAUUGCGUAUUAAACCCUAUGAGAUGAAUGCUAUUUUUAGAUAUCCUAAUACGUAUUUCUUUUUUAAUAGUAUGAUGGGUGGUAUUUUGUACAACAUAGAAAUUUUUGUUUUCCCACUCUCACAGAUUGGUUAUUCCCAGCUAACAAGUUCAGAGCAUACUUUUUGGGAUAUCCAGAACAAACUGUCCAAAUAAAGGAAUAUCAUAUGGGUAGUUUUUUCUUGCUUAGUUUAUAUUUCUGUUAUGGAUGUGUAAUAUACAAAAAUGUUAUAAUUUUAUUUCUUGAUUCCACACCUCUGCUUUCAUUUGUUUGAUUUCAUACCUGGGGCAACAAAUAAUAAACUUUCUACAUUUAUUGC